rnacentral:tRNA from 1 species
GGAGAGAUGCCCGAGUCCGGUUGAAGGGGGCUGACUCGAAAUCAGCUGUAGGUUUAUGCCUACCGGGGGUUCGAAUCCCUCUCUCUCCGCCA